GACCCUGGUAGUCUAUGCUGUAAACGAUGUCGACUUGGAGGUUGUGCCCUUGAGGCGUGGCUUCCGGAGCUAACGCGUUAAGUCGACCGCCUGGGGAGUACGGCCGCAAGGUUAAAACUCAAAUGAAUUGACGGGGGCCCGCACAAGCGGUGGAGCAUGUGGUUUAAUUCGAUGCAACGCGAAGAACCUUACCUACUCUUGACAUCCACGGAAUUCGCCAGAGAUGGCUUAGUGCCUUCGGGAACCGUGAGACAGGUGCUGCAUGGCUGUCGUCAGCUCGUGUUGUGAAAUGUUGGGUUAAGUCCCGCAACGAGCGCAACCCUUAUCCUUUGUUGCCAGCACGUAAUGGUGGGAACUCAAAGGAGACUGCCGGUGAUAAACCGGAGGAAGGUGGGGAUGACGUCAAGUCAUCAUGGCCCUUACGAGUAGGGCUACACACGUGCUACAAUGGCAUAUACAAAGAGAAGCGAACUCGCGAGAGCAAGCGGACCUCAUAAAGUAUGUCGUAGUCCGGAUUGGAGUCUGCAACUCGACUCCAUGAAGUCGGAAUCGCUAGUAAUCGUAGAUCAGAAUGCUACGGUGAAUACGUUCCCGGGCCUUGUACACACCGCCCGUCACACCAUGGGAGUGGGUUGCAAAAGAAGUAGGUAGCUUAACCUUCGGGAGGGCGC
rnacentral:rRNA from 1 species